rnacentral:rRNA from 1 species
UACGAAGGGUGCAAACGUUGCUCGGAAUUAUUGGGCGUAAAGCGCACGUAGGCGGCAUUGCAAGUCGGAUGUGAAAUCCCUCGGCUUAACCAAGGAAGUGCAUCCGAAACUGCAGUGCUUGAGUACUUAAGAGGAUCGCGGAAUUCCCGGUGUAGAGGUGAAAUUCGUAGAUAUCGGGAGGAACACCAGUGGCGAAGGCGGCGAUCUGGGAAGAUACUGACGCUGAGGUGCGAAAAGCGUGGGGAGCAAACAGG